rnacentral:tRNA from 1 species
UAUUCCUAGUAAAAUAAAUUUACUCAUUAACAUUUUCAAUAUUAAACUCUAAAAUAUAAGCUAUAAGAAU